rnacentral:rRNA from 1 species
CCUACGGGAGGCAGCAGUGGGGGAUAUUGCACAAUGGGGGGAACCCUGAUGCAGCGACGCCGCGUGGGUGAAGAAGUGCUUCGGCAUGUAAAGCUCUAUCGGCAGGGAAGAAGCAAGACGGUACCUGACUAAGAAGCCCCGGCUAACUACGUGCCAGCAGCCGCGGUAAUACGGAGGGGGCGAGCGUUAUCCGGAUGAACUGGGUGUAAAGGGAGCGUAUUCGGGUAAGCAAGCCAGGGGUGAAAGCUCGCGGCCCAACCCCGGGACUGCCCUUGGGACUGGCAGGCUGGAGUGCGGGAGGGGCAGGCGGAAGUCGUGGUGUAGCGGUGAAAUGCGUAGAUAUCAGGAGGAACACCGGCGGCGAAGGCGGCCUGCUGGACCGCGACUGACGUUGAGGCUCGAAAGCGUGGGGAGCGAACAGGAUUAGAUACCCGUGUAGUC